rnacentral:rRNA from 1 species
AUUGAACGCUGGCGGCAGGCCUAACACAUGCAAGUCGAGCGGAUGAAGGGAGCUUGCUCCUGGAUUCAGCGGCGGACGGGUGAGUAAUGCCUAGGAAUCUGCCUGGUAGUGGGUGAUAACGUCCUGAAACGGGCGCUAAUACCGCAGACGUCCUGAGGGAGAAAGUGGGGGGUCUUCGGACCUCACGCUAUCAGAGGAGCCUAGGUCGGAUUAGCUAGUUGGUGGGGUAAAGGCCUACCAAGGCGGCGAUCCGUAACUGGUCUGAGAGGAUGAUCAGUCACACUGGAAGUGAGACAGGGUCCAGACUCCUACGGGAGGCCGCAGUGGGGAAUAUUGGACAAUGGGCGAAAGCCUGAUCCAGCCAUGCCGCGUGUGUGACGAAGGUCUUCGGAUUGUAAAGCACUUUAAGUUGGGAGGAAGGGCAGUAAGUUAAUACCUUGCUGUUUUGACGUUACCAACAGAAUAAGCACCGGCUAACUUCGUG